UACGUAGGGGGCAAGCGUUGUCCGGAAUCAUUGGGCGUAAAGCGCGUGUAGGCGGCCCGGUAAGUCCGCUGUGAAAGUCGGGGGCUCAACCCUCGAAAGCCGGUGGAUACUGUCGGGCUUGAGUACGGAAGAGGCGAGUGGAAUUCCUGGUGUAGCGGUGAAAUGCGCAGAUAUCAGGAGGAACACCAAUUGCGAAGGCAGCUCGCUGGGACGUUACUGACGCUGAGACGCGAAAGCGUGGGGAGCAAACAGG
rnacentral:rRNA from 1 species